rnacentral:rRNA from 1 species
GACAAACGCUGGCGGCGUGCUUAACACAUGCAAGUCGAACGGUCACUCUACGGAGUGAUAGUGGCGGACGGGUGAGUAACACGUAGUCAACCUACCCUAAAGUGGGGAAUAACCCCUCGAAAGAGGAGCUAAUACCGCAUACGCUCUCUGGUGAUAGCUAGAGAGGAAACGAUAGCAGUGACACGCUAUGGGCUUUAGGAUGGGGACUUCGGCGGA